CUCCUAUAAUUGAUUUCUUCUGGCAGGUCUGACCUCCUCAUGGUGCCCAGUCUAGGCUGGCACUAUAAUAAUUCAUCUCUGAUCCCUGAGACACUAGCCACAUGCUGGCAUAUGGAGACUGGCUAUCUGGAAUUAGGAACUUGUCACUGUGACCUCAGAAAUUAAAAGACUUCCAACUGAACUAGAUACAAGUCAGCUAAUCUAGAAAGAUAAGUACUAUUCUUUGCAAUGACCAUAUGACCUUAUAUGUUGCUCUGGGAAUGAAUUCAGCAGAUAACUAUUGUCCAAUGGCUAAAAGUUACUUAUUUUAAACCCAAAC
rnacentral:lncRNA from 1 species